rnacentral:rRNA from 1 species
AUUGAACGCUGGCGGCAGGCCUAACACAUGCAAGUCGAGCGAGUGGCGGACGGGUGAGUAAUGUCUGGGACACUGCCCUAUGGCGGGGGAUAACUACUGGAAACGGUACCUAAUACCGCAUACCAUCGGAUGUUCCCAGAUGGGAUUAGCUAGUAGGUGGGGUAACGGCUCACCUAGGCGACGAUCCCUAGCUGGUCUGAGAGGAUGACCAGCCACACUGGAACUGAGACACGGUCCAGACUCCUACGGGAGGCAGCAGUGGGGAAUAUUGCACAAUGGGCGCAAGCCUGAUGCAGCCAUGCCGCGUGUAUGAAGAAGGCCUUCGGGUUGUAAAGUACUUUUAGCGGGGAGGCGUUACCCGCAGAAGAAGCACCGGCUAACUCCGUGCCAGCAGCCGCGGUAAUUC